rnacentral:lncRNA from 1 species
GGCCUGUUUGAGCAGGCAUUGCAAAUCUUAAAAACAAUAAGAUGAAUAAUCAUCACUGUUUGAUCACUGCCAUUUAUUGAGUACCUUCUCCAUGGCAGAUGCUAAGAUAAGACCUAACAUGCAUCAUCUCUGAUUUUACAAGUCUUCGAGGUUGCAGCCAUGAAAAUGCCCUGGUCAGCCAUGAUUGACCAUGACAGGGGUACUAGUGCAGGCCUGUUCCUGCUGGACAUGGAACCCCUCUAAUGGCUUAAGGACUCCCACUGGCUGGCAGAAACUUUCUUAGAACAACACUGUAGUCUAAGACUCUUCCUACUGAAUUCUCUUUCCUUCUCCCUCUCCUUUCAUGGGGGUCAGGCCUGCACUGCAGUCUGGGGCUUCCUCUGCCUACUUCAGUUCCUUCCUGAACAUUUUACAGGUGUUUCCCCCAAUAAUUCUCUUAUAUGCCUAAUCCCAUCUUGGUGCCUGCAUCUCGAAGGAACUAACACAGUGGACAGGAGUCCCAUUUUGCAGACAGACACUGGAUCAAUGAUGAAGUUACUUGUGUAAGUCCUACAGCCAACAAAUGUUAAGAGCUGGGGUUGUGUGCAGGUAUGUUUGAUUCCACAAGCCAAGUCUUAGAAGCAUACUAGGCUUCCUCUCUAAUGAUCUAUGCAGGCUUAACUGUGAGGACAGGGAGUGAUGACACAUUUCAGUUUGGCCCCUUUGUUUUGUCGAUGAGAAACCUGAGACCAGUGAGGGAAAGGAUUCGCCCAUGGGUGCCAGUGGGAGGGGUGCACCUGGGCUGUGCACAGCCAUUUCCCUCCUUUGGAGGCUGAGGGAGGAGGUCACAGGGAGGCCUCAGGGUAUGGAGGGAGGUCAGGCUGGGGGGCUUAGUGUCUGACCCACCAGCCUGGCAGGCGGGAAUGUGCCUGUAGAAGCCCACGGCCCUCUUGGGGAGAAGCCAUGAAGUGAGGACUGAGUGCUGCCUGGAGGUGCUGGCUGGGAUGCACAGGGAAGAGCUGUCAGGGUAUGGGUCUAACACUGGAACAGCUGGGGGACAUUCCCUGGAUAUCCCUGCAUUGCCUUGAGGCUCUCCCAUCCCUGUUUGAUCCGUAAGCUCCAAGGAGACAUGUUUCCCAGCCAUAAUGCCUUCUGAUCCCAAUCUCUUCUACUCUUUUCAUUGGCAAGAGUCAUUCUCACCCGGGUUUUCUUAUAUAAUAAUUAUAAACUCAUUCAGGGCCUGUGAGUGAAAAGGCACACAUAUACAUUCAGGUCUAAUAUUCACUGAGCAACCAUCAGCACAAUGGUAUGUGACCUCUUUGAAUGCUGCACUAAUGCUCCACUGUCUAGAAGGAGGCCAGACUGCUCUGGGGACCAGGUGCAGAGGGUGCCCUCAAGUGUCUAGUGUCAGAGAGAGAGGGGCUACUCCACUUUGGCCAGGGUGAACUUGAGUUGGUGAUGACAAACAUCUGCAGCUAGUCUAUUUUUCUAAUCUCACCCUCCAAACAGCCCCAUCUUCUUGCAGGGAGGAUGGGUGAAGGCAUUUUCAAAAAUGGACAUCACAUGUGACAAACAGGCAAAGGACCCUGACAGAGCCACAAAACUGACACGCUCAUGAAAACUCAGACCGCUGACAAUGGUGAGCGCCGACCAAUUCAGCGCCAGGCGUGGAGGCUUCUGGCAAGAGUGGUGGGCUCUGUGCGUCCUGAUGGUGGCAGCAGAGACCAGCUUGGGAGCCACCUGGCUCCUCUGCCCUAGCCCAUUAUGGCCUGAAUCCAAUCAAUUUCAGUUCUCAGCACUUCUGAAAACGUGCGUGGCUUAGAGUGUCUGGCAGGGCUCAGGAGAGAAAAGCAUUUCUCAGCCCCGGGACACAUAUAUGCCUCCAGGCACUGGUUGUGGCUUGCAAUCUGGGAGGGCAGGUGAACGGACACCCUCCCUCCUUGCACAGGCCUGGGAUCUGCCUUACUCAACUCCCACUUCUACCAGGAGCAGAGGAUCACCGCUGCCCAGCACCCCGCCCAUCUGAAUUCUGACUCUGGUGGCUUCAGAGAAGCAAGGUAGGGGCCAGUGCUGGUAUGAAAUGCCAGAUGAGAGGAAACUGAUGCAUGCACUUUACUCCUGACUCAGAGUGCCUGAAAUAUCUGGCAAACUGGCAAAGGAUGAAACCCUUCUUUGAGGUCUGUAGAGUAGCUUUAAGAUAAAUGAAGCCACUGAGAAGGUCCAAAACAAGGGGCCCUUAGACGUGGAAGAGGUCUGCUUUCCUGAUAACUAGAGUGGUGCUGGGCUAUGAAAACAGUCCAAAUAGAUGAGGAUAGUUCCUGAGAGCACAGGGUUCUGAAGCUGGACAAAUAUUCUUCCACCUUAAUGGCCCUCUCACUGGAGCCUUCACAGGGUUAACGAUGGUCCCGCAGGAGUUGGGGCCAUGACUGAGGACAUGGAGCUGAUGUGGAGGCAGUCAGGGCCAAGGCAAGAGCCUCCUUGUGUAUAGUGGAAACGCAAGACAGACAUCAAAGGGAGUGGGGUGUGCGGUUCCCAAGGGGCUACCAGAGUCCACUUUUAUUAAAAGUUUGUGUCUUUCUUUAGAAAGUAAUAUGUUCCAUCUCCAGCACCUGAAGGCUCCUUUCAGGGUGCCAGAAGAAUCCUCAAGGGACAGUCCCAGGCUGUGUCCUUCCUCCUGUCUUGGCUGACAUUUUUAUGCAUGGUUUAGGCAGCCCAUGGGCUUUCCAGCUUUGCAAUAAGAUCUGAUCUAAUUUCAAGCUUAUACAUAACAGAAGGGCUGGGGGAGAAGUAGGAGUUCUUUUAGAAUUGCAAAAUCCAGGUGGGUGUAGCCUGUGGGGUGCAGGCUAUCCAGCUCAAAGAGGGAGGCCCAUAUCUCAGAUUCCCUAAUGCUCGGCACAGUGUCUGGCACACAAUGGGCACACAGGAAAUCCUGCACUGAAUCAAACAGAUUUUGUAUUACCAGAUCUAGGCUGACUCACUGUGUGGUCAGGACCUUGGGUCAAUCACUUCACCUGGUGACUCACUCCCUACCUGUAAGGUGUGGAGGACAGCUGGAGUCACUGUGGCACCUGUGUGUUUAGCAGUGUGUUUGCUUGUUCCUGCUUUUAUGUCUCUGGCUGGUCUAAGAUGGAAUGAUAAAAAAAUAACGGAAUGCACUUUGUAAACGAGAGCAUCCUAGACACAUGUAAAGAUUGGAAAAUUAGAAAGCUGUCUCUACUGUAGUUACUUCUCAGAUAUGACCAACCAUUAUUAAGAAUUCAUUGGCUAAUAGGGCUACAUUUUCUCAUGAUCAUUCUUCUGUUUUAGAAGUGGGCAACUGCAGUUUUAAGAAUAAAUGUGUAAAUGUGUGUUUUCAUGAGAGACAAUAAAGCUGUUUUCAUUAAGAAUGAAAUAUGCAACUUGCAAACACUUUUACUUUUCUUGAAUUGGGUCCUUCAGCAGAAGCAGUUUGCCCAGCCCUGACAUGGAAAGUUUACUUUGCUCAUCAACCUGAAGGAGACCGAAAGCUAUGAGAGGCGGCUCCUGAAAAGAAUCUAGACUCCGGAUAUAAAAAGAUCUUGCAACACAAGGCCAAGUGGAAAUCAUGGUUCGCAUUAAAGGCAUAAACCUCCUGCACUAACAACCCAGAGCAGGAGGAAAAGCUGGGAGACCUGGCUCAGCAGCCUUCCCUGAGGGAAGCCUUCGGGGCUUUGUUCCUCUUGAGAUCAGGGCAAGCCUAUGUAUGACCUGAAGCCAAUACAACCAGCAGAGCUGAUGCCAGUGCUGGCUGCCUGAGUGCUACUAAAGAAAGAGUCCACCAUCGGCUCCCUCUUCCGUAGCCAGACACAGGUGGAAUGCUGUGCUUCCUUUUGGGAGACAAAGCAGAAGCUACCCCAGAGGGGGCAGAUGGGAGACAGGCCCAGGCAAUGCAGCCCUACAAAGAAGACUUGAAGGGCCGGGGCUGAGCAGCUUGGAUGAAGAGAAGGCUGCCUUUCAGAGCUGUUUCAAAUGUUUCAGACGUUGCUAGACAAACUAGAGUUGUAUGGCUUCAGAUGGCACAGCUUAGGGCCAUAGAGUGGGAAUCACAAGAAGGCAAACUUUAGGCCCCCAGGAGAGCUGGACAACAACCUGGAGGGUCAGAGGAGAAUGGGCUGUCCAAGGAGCGGGGAUAUGAGGGUGGGGCAGUGUGGCCAUCCCUGGAAGGGGUAAGGGAGUGGCAGAUGGUAACCAUUUGGGGUGGGGUGUGGCUGAGGAUUCCUGCAAGGCUAUCAGAGAAACUCUAAGAAUCAUAAGAAUCAAAGCUCAAGUACAUGAGGGAAGACAUAAUGAAAUCCCUAAAGUUCUGAGAGGUUGUACCAGAUUCUUUAUGGAGAAUACAGAGAGAAUGCCUCCUGACUCCUCAUUCACAGAGUGCCAGGCAGCAGCAAGGAGAAGCUGGUGGCCUUGGGAGGGCAAAAACUAAGGACAAGGUCCACAAUGCAAUCAGCUCACAUCACCUACGAACAAAUAAAGUGGGGUGGGGGUGGAGAGUUGCUAGAGUUUACGUAACUCUCAAGCCUUAAUUUAGCUGCAAGAACUAGGUUUUUGCCAAAGCUAUAGAACUUCCCACCAGAUGAAAGCUUUAUCUCUUUUUCUUUCUUAGGAGAAGAGAGACAGAAGGAGAGAAGAGGGGCAGGAGGAGAGAAAACACAAGAAAGAGGAUGGAAGAUAAAGAGGAAGGCCAGAGUGAGGCAGGAGAAAGCUGAGCUGGAACCUAACUCCUGUUGAUCUGCUGCAGAGACCCUCUCAUUCCACAAUUGCUCCCGCCAUGAUUUUGCAUCGGGUUGAUGUAGUGGAUGCUGUAGUCCACUACCCAGAUUCCUUCCCCAACCCACAACAAUGAGGUUCUCAUUCCGGAGCUGCUAGGAGGGAUGCCAGAUAAUAGCACACAGCUGAACUUCUCUUCAGCUAUUGCCCUCAGAUUAAGAAAGCUGCCUUGCUCAAGGUUACACGCCUUUCCUGGGAAACCAGUAUCCAAUGACUGGUUCCUGUAAAAGGAAUGGAGCUGCCUUAAAAGAGCUGCCUUGCUUCAAUUUGGGAAGACUAUGAAGAGCCAUCCCAGCUCUGGAGUUCUCCGUAGGGUUGGGUUUUUGAGACUAUGCAGAAGUUAUUCCAUGAGUUCCAAGCCCAGGUCAUGAAAGAUAACUUGUAAUAAAUCUGGCUACCCUGAAGCUGCCAUGCUUGAGAGACCACACGAGAUGGAGAGAGAUGCUUAGGAGUCCCAGCUGUCCAAGCCUCCAGCUAUGUGAAUCUUCCCAGCAGCAACUGCCAGACAUGUGGUACACCCAAAAUGACUUUGGGGCUACACUUGGAAUUGGCAAGGUUCCAGAAAACAGAGGGACUAUCAUCAGAGACAGCGCACAAAAAGUGGGAGAAAGGUCACCAGCCUCACUCAUGUUUAGGGCUAUUAUGAAUAAAGCUGCUAUGAACACUUGUUUACAAGUUCUUUGUGAGGACACAUGUUUUCAUUUAUCUUGGGAAAAUACCUAGAGAUGGAACUCUGGGACACAUGGUAAUAAAGUAUAUUGGCAUAAUGCAAGAGUCAAGAUGCAGAAAAUAACUACUGUGUGAUGUCUCUCUCCCAGCUUUAACCCGCCUGAAGGGCAGCACUGAGUUCAACACACUGUCCCACAAUUGUUGCACUCUCACACUGAAGUGAACAGAUUCUUUCUCCGUGCCGUGCAGCUCCCGGCAGAGGAUGAGGGAAGGGUACCAUCGGUGAUUCAGCACUGUGUUUCCUAUCCUCUUCAAUGACUCUUUCAGCGAUAUGAAGGUAAAACCAGGUACUGUGAGUGCUCAUCUUAUUUUUGGUUCUUUUGAAGGUGUUUUUUGGUGUAGAUAGUUAUUAAAUUUGGUGUUCCCGCAUGGGGGAACAAUUGAUAGAGCCUUCUAUUUGAUCAUUUUGCUCUGCUCAUUCUAUAUACCACAUUUUCUUUAUCAAAUCUUAUUUAAUUUUGAUUCCAUAAUUUACUAAAGACUAAAUGUGAUAUGCUAAGUUUUUCACAACAAUUAUAUUUUAUCCCACUUUUUUGUCUUCAAAUAGCUUUUGCUUUUGUAUUUCUGUGCUAUGUUAUAGUACAUUACACAUUCAUUGUGGAUUGCAACUUUUAUAAAACAAUCCUCUAUCCAAAGCAUUUUCCUCUGGAGUUUUAUUUUAACCAAUAUUAAUAGUGCCACUACUACCUUGUUCUGACUUUUGCUUUUUUUGAUUUAAAAAUAUAUUUGUUUUAUUUUUGUCUGAUUUUUCUCUAUCUUUAUUUGUAAAUCUUUUGUGUCAUUUGAGUUAGGUGAAUGGAGCACAUGGCUAUGCUUUGUUUUAAAUGAAAGUCUUUGUCAUCCAGCGGAGGACUUUAAUUCAUUUACAUUUAUUGACAUAAAUGUUGGUAGGUCUUAUUUCUCUCAUCUUGCUUUACAAUUUCUAUUUUACUGCUUGUAUUGCUUUUAUUUUGAUGCUUCCUUAUUUCUUCAUCUUUAAAGUAUAUGUACUGCUAUUUUCCUACCAUAAUUACAUUUCUCUAAUUACAAAUAUGAAACUCUGAAUCUCUUCCUUACCAAUCCUAUGUAAAAUAAGAAAUUUAUCAAGCUGGUGGGCUUGAUAAAGGGCUUACCCAUUCCUGUUUCUAAACAAACAAUUAUGCUUAUUUAAACAAUCUGUUCCAAACAACUACCAGCAAAAAUGUGAACUGUUCUUCAUUAGUCUACUAAUUGAAUUUUCUAACUAUCCUGAUGCCAGGAACACCAUGUAUCAGUUAUGCCUAAAAUGUCAUUUAAAAAUAAAAUUGCUUGAGGACAAAUCAGAAAUUAGCAUCUUUAACUAUUUAACUAUUUAAUUACUUUAAGGGCUCCUGGUCAUAGUUUCCACAUUCUACUUCCUUCUCUGUUACAGACUUGAAAGCGUGUGUCAGAUCCCUUCACUAUAUCUUCAGACCUGCCCCAAGGAGUGAGGAAGGGCAACACCAAGAACUUCUCUCCAAGGACCAUAACCUGCGAACCCCAUCUCACCUCCUCCUGCCAGAUGGACACAGUCAUUGUCCUCCUGGCUGAUCCCAUGUCCAUGUCUUGCUCUGGCUACUUUCAUACACCCAUAAUGACAUUUUCCAUCUACUCAAUUUUUUAAAAGCUCAGCUCGAACCUCACGGAUUUUCCUGACAAUCUGCUUCUCUCAAUGGCCUUAAUUUAAGUGAGGGUUGUCAGUCUUACUGGGUCUCGUUUUUUGUCUUAAAUAAUAACUAUUUAUGGGUAUCAAGUGUCUCCUCAAUUUGGCUAUGAUCCUUCACGGCAGAAAUACUGUCUUAUCUUGUGAUCAUGGAGUCACAAGAUUUCAUGGCUAGGAAUAUUCGUCAAAUUAAUCCUAGAUUGAGGAUCAGGUAGUAUGUGGUCUGAUUCUAACUCAACAACUUGCAGAAACUCACUUCUUUUUUCUUUUUUUUUCCCCAGGAGGAGCUAUCGUAUUAACUGACGAAACUCACUUCAUUUCUUUGGACCUGCAAAAUGAGGAUGGGCUCUAAACCACCUCUAAAGUUAAUAUUCUAUGAUUCCAUGAUAAGGCUAUUUGUCAUUUAUAAAAAAAGGAACUUCCACAUAGCCCAGAGAAAGGAAAUGACUUUUUCAAGUUUACAGAGUCAAUUAAUGGACGAAAUGUAAUUUGAAAUUCAAUCUCCUGAUCCCCAGUCUAUUGGGAGUUCUUUCAGAAUGUCCCUUGACUGUCCCUCAAAGUGCCAGCAUGUAUGAAACCUUGUUAAGGAUGUAUGCUCAAUGAAAAUACACAAAUUGACUUAACAAGAAACUAAACUCUCCAGAAAGAUGCAGUUGACCCAAAACUCUGAAUAUCUUUUAUGUUUAAAACUUUCUUUUUUGAACAAAAUUGUACAGUUACUUCUCUAUUUCAACUCUUAAGCCUUUUAUGCCACGUCAAAGGUUAGCUCUCUUUUCUCUCUGUUAAUAAAGUCUUAUUCUUGACUUUGGAACUGUAUGCCAA